AGAGUUUGAUCAUGGCUCAGGACGAACGCUGGCGGCAUGCCUAAUACAUGCAAGUCGAGCGAAUGAUGAAGAAGCUUGCUUCUUCUGAUUUAGCGGCGGACGGGUGAGUAACACGUGGGCAACCUGCCCUGUAGAUUGGGAUAACUCCGGGAAACCGGGGCUAAUACCGAAUAAUCCAUUUCUUCACAUGUAGAAAUGUU
rnacentral:rRNA from 1 species